rnacentral:rRNA from 1 species
UACAGAGGGUGCGAGCGUUAAUCGGAAUUACUGGGCGUAAAGCGUGCGUAGGUGGUUCUUUAAGUCAGGUGUGAAAUCCCCGGGCUCAACCUGGGAACUGCAUUUGUGACUGCAUCGCUCGAGUGUGGCAGAGGGGGAUGGAAUUCCGCGUGUAGCAGUGAAAUGCGUAGAUAUGCGGAGGAACACCGAUGGCGAAGGCAAUCCCCUGGGCCUGCACUGACGCUCAUGCACGAAAGCGUGGGGAGCAAACAGG